rnacentral:rRNA from 1 species
AGGAUUCCCCUAGUAACGGCGAGUGAAGCGGGAAGAGCUCAAAUUUGAAAUCUGGUAGCCUUCGGUUGCCCGAGUUGUAAUCUAGAGAAGUGUUUUCCGCGUUGGCCCAUGUACAAGUCCCUUGGAACAGGGCGUCAUAGAGGGUGAGAAUCCCGUCCUUGACAUGGACCCCCAAUGCUUUGUGAUACACUUUCAACGAGUCGAGUUGUUUGGGAAUGCAGCUCAAAAUGGGUGGUGAAUUCCAUCUAAAGCUAAAUAUUGGCGAGAGACCGAUAGCGAACAAGUACCGUGAGGGAAAGAUGAAAAGCACUUUGGAAAGAGAGUUAAACAGUACGUGAAAUUGUUGAAAGGGAAACGAUUGAAGUCAGUCAUGCUCUUUGGAUUAAGCCGUUCUGCGGUGUAUUUCAUUGAGCGGGGUCAACAUCAGUUUUGAUCGCUGGAAAAGGGCAGGAGGAAGGUAGCACUCUCGGGUGAACUUAUAGCCUCUUGUCGUAUACAGUGAUUGGGACUGAGGAACGCAGCAUGCCUUUUGGCCGGGAUUCGUCCACGUACAUGCUUAGGAUGUUGACAUAA